CACUAUGUGUGUGAAUUCCUUAAUCUUCUGGGAAAAUUUUAAGUUUACAUUGUAAACCAAAGACCUAACGGUAAGUUCUGAGGCUACUUCUGUCACCCCUAUAAAAUGAUUGUUUAUCAACCAUCUGAUACGUUUCCUUGCCAAACUGCUAAUAGGAGGAAAAGUAGGUUGUGUGUGGUGCUGUGUGUAGUGUUAGGGAGCCAUUGGCAAAUGGUGACUUUUAAUAGACACUUUUAUAAGAAAAAAACAUGUAAAAUGUUAUCUAGCAGAGGAUGACGGCGAAAGACUAAAGAAAAGAAAGGAUACUCAGAGAUGGAAAAACUGUAAAUUCAAUGUCUAGUGCUAACAUAUCAUACGUGAAAAAGAAGUUCAAGGUUCCCCUUAUUUAAGCUGUUCAGGACAAGUAGUGCUGCAGGGGUGGAACACAGGAGGAGAUCUAAAUCUCUCUGCAGGCUCUCUAAGACUUGAAGAGAGCUCUGGAAGGAGGUCCUUGCAAAAAAGUUUUUAAUAAAAAAGGUGGAGAAGUAACUGCUCUAGUCUGGAUUCAGCUCCAGACAAAGCCCGAGUUCCGUGGUGAAUAAAGACAACUGCUCUGGCAGAGCUUUGCAGGUGAUGUGGAAUGGUGUCACCGUCCUGUCACCAUGCUGAGCUGAAAUCUUACACGCUCUGGCUGAUGUGAUCAAAUGAAUGUUUCUUCCACUCGAUUGCUGCUUCUCUGAAAGUAUCGAGCCACAGUAUCUGGGGUGAAUGUAGAAUUUUGCUCAUUAUUAUCACAGAUUAUUAUAUCUCCCGUGCCAGUCACUGGAAACCUGCCUGAAAAGUCAUAGAUCCCCGUGGAGCAACAGCCAGAACCUGGAUCCCAAAAUAUCCCUCAAAAGGCUGCAUGAUGUGCCCUCACGACCCUACUUCAGGGAAGAUGACGGUUACACGCUUGGUGAGGUGAGGUAAGAGCGAUGCCUCAGCCCCAGCGGCGGCCUGGCAGGGCAGCGACUUCUGCAAGUGCUCGGAUGGCGAGAGCUAACCUCGCUGCCUCUCGGCAUCCUCAGGGAGAGGGCAACUGGUGUCAGCUGCACGGAUGCUCAGCGUGGCUUCCCCGAGGAGUGAGAAUAAAACUGCAUUUUUUAGUUAUGGUAAAAGUGUUUACAAAUCCAUGCCCGAGUGGGAGAAAAAAAAAAAAUUGACACAAAUGGGGCCUGGCGUAUGCCAAAUAUAUGAGCUGUUCUAAAAGUA